rnacentral:tRNA from 1 species
GCCGAGGUGGCGGAAUUGGCAGACGCGCAAGAUUCAGGUUCUUGUGAUCUGUUUAGAUCGUACGGGUUCAAGUCCCGUCCUCGGCACUA